rnacentral:rRNA from 1 species
AGAGUUUGAUCCUGGCUCAGGAUUAACGCUGGCGGCGUGCCUAAUGCAUGCAAGCCGAACGGCCCGAUUUAUCGGGCAGUGGCAAACGGGUGAGUAACACGUAAGAACCUACCCUCAAGUGGGGGAUAACCCCGAGAAAUCGGGGCUAAUACCGCAUGUGCUCCCUGAUUAUGUCAGGGAGGAAAGCUCCGGCGCUUGAGGACGGGCUUGCGUCCGAUUAGCUUGUUGGUGAGGUAAUGGCCCACCAAGGCUGAGAUCGGUAGCUGGUUUGAGAGGAUGAUCAGCCACACUGGGACUGAGAUACGGCCCAGACUCCUACGGGAGGCAGCAGCAGGGGAUAUUGCGCAAUGGGUGAAAGCCUGACGCAGCAACGCCGCGUGGGGGAUGAAGGCUCUCGGGUUGUAAACCCCUUUUCUCGGGGAAGAUAAUGACGGUACCCGAGGAAUAAGUCUCGGCUAACUACGUGCCAGCAGCCGCGGUAAGACGUAGGAGGCGAGCGUUAUCCGGAAUUACUGGGCGUAAAGGGCGUGUAGGCGGCUCUUCAAGUCUUUGGUGAAAUCUCCCGGCUUAACUGGGAGGGUGCCAGGGAAACUGGAGGGCUUGAGGGCAGCAGAGGGGGGUGGAAUUCCCGGUGUAGUGGUGAUAUGCGUAGAUAUCGGGAGGAACACCAGUGGCGAAGGCGGCCCCCUGGGCUGUUCCUGACGCUGAGGCGCGAAAGCGUGGGGAGCAAACAGGAUUAGAUACCCUGGUAGUCCACGCCGCAAACGAUGGAUACUAGGUAUGGGGGGUAUCGACCCCCUCCGUGCCGAAGCUAACGCCAUAAGUAUCCCGCCUGGGGAGUACGGUCGCAAGACUAAAACUCAAAGGAAUUGACGGG